GAUGAACGCUGGCGGCGUGCCUAAUACAUGCAAGUCGAGCGAAUGGAUUAAGAGCUUGCUCUUAUGAAGUUAGUGGCGAACGGGUGAGUAACACGUGAGUAACCUGCCCUUGACUCUGGGAUAACUGCGGGAAACUGUAGCUAAUACCGGAUACGACCCUCGGCGGCAUCGCCAGGGGGUGGAAGGAAUUUCGGUCAAGGAUGGACUCGCGGCCUAUCAGCUAGUUGGUGAGGUAACGGCUCACCAAGGCGACGACGGGUAGCCGGCCUGAGAGGGUGAACGGCCACACUGGGACUGAGACACGGCCCAGACUCCUACGGGAGGCAGCAGUGGGGAAUAUUGCACAAUGGGCGCAAGCCUGAUGCAGCAACGCCGCGUGAGGGAUGACGGCCUUCGGGUUGUAAACCUCUUUUAGUAGGGAAGAAGCGAAAGUGACGGUACCUGCAGAAAAAGCACCGGCUAACUACGUGCCAGCCGCCGCCGUAA
rnacentral:rRNA from 1 species